AAUUGGAGGGCAAGUCUGGUGCCAGCAGCCGCGGUAAUUCCAGCUCCAAUAGCGUAUAUUAAAGUUGUUGCAGUUAAAAAGCUCGUAGUUGAAUUUCGGGGUUAGUAGGUUGGUCAUGCCUCUGGUAUGUACUGGUCUCACUGAUUCCUCCCUCCUUAUGAACCGUAAUGCCAUUAAUUUGGUGUUGCGGGGAAUUUGGACUGUUACUUUGAAAAAAUUAGAGUGUUUAAAGCAGGCUAACGCUUGAAUACAUUAGCAUGGAAUAAUGAAAUAGGACGUUCGAUCUUAUUUUGUUGGUUUCUAGGAUUGACGUAAUGAUUAAUAGGGAUAGUUGGGGGCAUUAGUAUUCAAUUGUCAGAGGUGAAAUUCUUGGAUUUAUUGAAGACUAACUACUGCGAAAGCAUUUGCCAAGGAUGUUUUCAUUAAUCAAGAACGAAAGUUAGGGGAUCGAAGACGAUCAGAUACCGUCGUAGUCUUAACCAUAAACUAUGCCGACUAGGGAUCGGAUGAUGUUAAUUUUUUAAUGACUCAUUCGGCGCCUUACGGGAAACCAAAGUGU
rnacentral:rRNA from 1 species